rnacentral:rRNA from 1 species
UACGUAGGGGGCGAGCGUUAUCCGGAUUUAUUGGGCGUAAAGCGUGCGUAGGCGGUUUAUUAAGUCUGAAAUAAAAGCCUGUGGCUCAACCACAGAUCGUUUCAGAUACUGGUAGACUAGAGUAUGGUAGAGGCAAAUGGAAUUCCUAGUGUAGCGGUGAAAUGCGUAGAUAUUAGGAGGAACACCAGUGGCGAAGGCGGUUUGCUGGGCCAAAACUGACGCUGAGGUACGAAAGCGUGGGUAGCAAAUA